AUUGAACGCUGGCGGCAUGCUUUACACAUGCAAGUCGAACGGUAACAGGGAGCUUGCUCCGCUGACGAGUGGCGAACGGGUGAGUAAUGCGUCGGAACGUGCCGAGUAGUGGGGGAUAACGCAGCGAAAGUUGUGCUAAUACCGCAUACGUACUGAGGUAGAAAGGGGGGGACCUUCGGGCCUCACGCCAUUCGAGCGGCCGACGUCUGAUUAGCUAGUAGGUGAGGUAAAGGCUCACCUAGGCGACUAUCAGUAGCGGGUCUGAGAGGAUGAUCCGCCACACUGGGACUGAGACACGGCCCAGACUCCUACGGGAGGCAGCAGUGGGGAAUUUUGGACAAGGGGCGAAAGCCUGAUCCAGCCAUGCCGCGUGUCUGAAGAAGGCCUUCGGGUUGUAAAGGACUUUUGUCGGGGAGGAAAUCCCCAGCGCUAAUACCGCUGGGGGAUGACAGUACCUGAAGAAUAAGCACCGGCUAACUCUGUGCCAGCAGCCGCAGUAAAAC
rnacentral:rRNA from 1 species